UGACUGUCUAGCGUUCAGAGGGUCUUCCUGUGUGGGCAGGUUAUUUCACAGCUGCAUUUAACCUGUAUCUCUGCACUGUGCGCUUGUCUUUCCAGGCAACCCAGCACAGCCGGAACAAGCCAUCCCCAGACCACGGUGUGGGAGCCGACAGCUGAGAGCUGCCUUUCCAACCUGUUUUAGCCCUGCACCAAGUACUCUGCUGUCCUGGUGGGGCCUGGGAAGUCGCUGGUGUUGAGGCUUUCCUGGGAGAGACUGAAGACGAGCACUGCAAGGGAGCAGUGUGAUGACCAGAUAUCCCAGCUUCCGGCAUCAAAGGUACGGUGUUGGUGGAUUAUGACCGCAGGGAAGCCGUGGCUGUGCCCAGGAAGCUGCGUUGCAUCCGCAGAUCUCCUUCGUACAUCAAGGGCACCUUUGAGCAGGUGAGUGCUGUGCACGUGAAAGGACUGCUGUCUUUGCUCUGGGGGAAGCUGGUGGGGGGCCAUCACAGCUCAGGGCUGUCAAGCUCCCUGUUUCUACCUUCCUGCCAGACAUCGCUUAUUAGAGGAAGGAAAUUGCAA
rnacentral:lncRNA from 1 species